ACUGAAAAGCACUGCUGAGGAGACUGAAAUUAUCUUCGCGAGGUGGAUUACACAUUGUAAGAACUAAGAACUAAAUCUGUUUUUUCUUCUUCUUAUUUUAAAGAGGACCAGGUCUCCUGCAUUCUUGGAAACAAGAGACGAUCUCAGAUUAUCACUAACUUUUUUAUGAGCUAUAAAUGUGCUCUGCUUAACGGACAUCUUAAGGACCACAGAUUCAGAGAACUAUGGAUUCAUAUAAAACGGGUGAGAUCUUACGACUUCCUUUUUACCUUUUCAAAUACCUCCUAUGUCAAGCCCUUUGCUUCACUUGUGUUUGCUUAGUAUUACUAACAAAUCAUGAAGCCCUUUGUUAAGUAUG
rnacentral:lncRNA from 7 species